rnacentral:ncRNA from 2 species
AAAACAACAAGUAAACACCCUCAUAUAAUCUUGGGAAUAUGGCCCAUAAGUAUCUACCCGGUUACCGUAAAUGAUCGGACUAUGAGGGAAAGUAGCUGUCUG